UUUCCGUAGGUGAACCUGCGGAAGGAUCAUUAAUAAUAAGUGUUUUAUGGCACUUUUUUAAAUCCAUAUCCACCUUUUGUGCAAUGUCAGGGUUGUUCUCUGUUGAUCAGCCCCAAACAUCAACUAUUAUCUCAACUCAUUGUCUGAAUCAUACUAUGAAAAGAACACUGCAAAAUACAACUUUCAACAACGGAUCUCUUGGCUCUC
rnacentral:misc_RNA from 1 species